rnacentral:ncRNA from 1 species
UACCUGGUUGAUUCUGCCAGUAGUCAUAUGCUUGUCUCAAAGAUUAAGCCAUGCAUGUCUAAGUAUAAGCAAUCUAUACCGUGAAACUGCGAAUGGCUCAUUAAAUCAGUUAUCGUUUAUUUGAUAGUACCUUACUACUUGGAUAACCGUGGUAAUUCUAGAGCUAAUACAUGCUAAAAACCUCGACUUCGGAAGGGGUGUAUUUAUUAGAUAAAAAACCAAUGCCCUUCGGGGCUCCUUGGUGAUUCAUAAUAACUUAACGAAUCGCAUGGC